UGGCUCAGUCGGUGGAGCAUGAGACUCUUGAUCUCAGAGCUGUGGGUUCGAACCCCAC
rnacentral:tRNA from 1 species